rnacentral:rRNA from 1 species
UCCAUAGCCAUAUCACCCUGCAACUCACAACUGGCAAUCCUCUGAAACUAAGCAGGGUUGAGCCAGGUCAGUACCUGGAUUGGAGACCUCCUGGGAAAAGGUCUCUUGCUGGAGGAC